GCUUUCUUAGCUCAGUCGGUUAGAGCGUGGUGCUAAUAACGCCAAGGUCACAGGUUCGACCCCUGUAGGGAGCA
rnacentral:tRNA from 2 species